UACGUAGGGUGCAAGCGUUGUCCGGAAUUAUUGGGCGUAAAGAGCUCGUAGGUGGCGGGUCACGUCGGGUGUGAAAGCCCGGGGCUUAACCCCGGGUCUGCAUUCGAUACGGGCAGGCUGGAGUUCGGUAGGGGAGACUGGAAUUCCUGGUGUAGCGGUGAAAUGCGCAGAUAUCAGGAGGAACACCGGUGGCGAAGGCGGGUCUCUGGGCCGAUACUGACGCUGGAGGAAGCGAAAGCGUGGGGAGCGAACAGG
rnacentral:rRNA from 1 species